GUGGGCUAUGGGGAUAUGCGACCUGUCACCGUGGGGGGCAAGAUAGUGGGUUCCUUGUGUGCCAUUGCAGGUGUGCUCACUAUUGCCCUGCCUGUCCCUGUCAUUGUAUCCAAC
rfam:Cuculus canorus isolate BGI_N303 unplaced genomic scaffold scaffold279, whole genome shotgun sequence.